rnacentral:lncRNA from 1 species
UUCGGAAGAUAAAUGUCAAGUUUCAAAGGAUGAACACCAAUAUAGAAAAUGGCGAACAUACAGGAGAAGAAGAAGGGGAAAUAAGCAAGCAAAACUGAGAAGAGACAAAACUACAUCUCUGAGAACUCUAAGGUAUGUCCGACUUGUUUCAAGAUCAAACUCGGAAUUUUCUUAGGAAGGUACUAAGCAAUAAAACGCUUUUGAGACUGCCAUAGAAUUUUAGGGAACUUAAAACUUAGGUGGAUAGUCUAGUGAACUAAGUUAUAGACAAUUUUUACUAUUGCUCUUCAAUUGCUCUGGCAGAUCUUGCUAACCGAUCUAAACUCUCGCAAAAACGAGAAACGAUUGCCACGCAUACUUAGCUCGCUUCCCAAAAAAAAAGAACUAGAGACACGCACAUCGUCAUAAAAUCGAUUCGUUCCUACCAACUUUCUUAAAAACCGACAU